GGAGGGAUGGCUCAAAGGUUAAGAGCACUCUCUGUUCCUUCAGAGGGCCUGGGUUCAAUUCCCAGCACCUACA
rnacentral:tRNA from 1 species